AUCAGAGUAGGAAAUAAAGCGUUAAGUGUCGCUGGGAUGGGAUGUUGCCCGCGAACGAAAGAUUGUUUAGGCAAUUUGCGGUUUUGUUUCUGCAUUCGCUGCAU
rnacentral:ncRNA from 2 species